UACGUAGGGAGCGAGCGUUGUCCGGAUUUAUUGGGCGUAAAGAGCGCGUAGGCGGCUUGGUAAGCCGGAUGUGAAACCCCCGAGCUCAACUCGGGGCGGCCAUUCGGAACUGCCAUGGCUAGAGUCUGGUAGGGGAACACGGAAUACCUGGUGUGGCGGUGAAAUGCUUAGAUAUCAGGUGGAACACCAGUGGCGAAGGCGGUGUUCUGGGCCAGUACUGACGCUGAGGCGCGAAAGCGUGGGGAGCGAACAGG
rnacentral:rRNA from 1 species